rnacentral:tRNA from 1 species
CCGUAGUGGAGCGGUUUAACACGCCUGCCUGUCACGCAGGAGAUCGCGGGUUCGAUUCCCGUCGGG